rnacentral:misc_RNA from 1 species
UUGAAAUCCUUUGGAUGUUGCUGGCCUUUCGGGGCAUUGUGCACUCCGCCUUCUCAAUACACCUGUGAACUUAUUGUAGGUGACAAGUCUGUUGCCUAUGUUUUUUUAUAACACACCUUGUUUAAACAACUGUAUUGAAUGUAUAAACAAAUUUAAUA